rnacentral:rRNA from 1 species
UACGGGGGGGGUAAGCGUUGUUCGGAAUUACUGGGCGUAAAGCGUGCGUAGGCGGUUUGUUAAGACAGGUGUGAAAUCCCCGGGCUUAACCUGGGAACUGCGCUUGUUACUGGCAGACUGGAGUGUGGCAGAGGGGGGUGGAAUUCCAGGUGUAGCAGUGAAAUGCGUAGAUAUCUGGAGGAACACCGAUGGCGAAGGCAGCCCCCUGGGCUAACACUGACGCUGAUGCACGAAAGCGUGGGGAGCAAACAGG